GAUGAACGCUAGCGGCAGGCCUAAUACAUGCAAGCCGAACGGCAAGUUGAGUAGCAAUACUUGACCUAGGGUGGCGUAAGGGUGCGUAACACGUAUGCAAUCUGCCCUCAACAGGAGGAUAGCUCCCCGAAAGGGGAAUUAACCCUCCAUGGGAUCUUAGAGUGGCAUCACUUAGAGAUUAAACCGCAAGGGGUUGAGGAUGAGCAUGCGCAUGAUAGUUAGUUGGCGGGGUAACGGCCCACCAAGACGAUGAUCAUUAGGGGAACUGAGAGGUUGAU
rnacentral:rRNA from 1 species